GGCAGCAGUGGGGAAUCUUCCGCAAUGGACGAAAGUCUGACGGAGCGAUGCCGCGUGCGGGAUGAAGGCCCUUGGGUUGUAAACCGCUGUCAGAGGGAAUGAAAUCUCCGGAGGUUCUCCUCCGGAGUUGACAGAGCCUCAGAGGAAGCACGGGCUAAGUAUGUGCCAGCAGCCGCGGUAAUACAUACUGUGCGAACGUUAUUCGGAAUCACUGGGCUUAAAGGGUGCGUAGGCGGCGAUUCAAGUCAGAUGUGAAAUGCCUGAGCUCAACUGAGGCAUUGCGUUUGAAACUGGAUUGCUGGAGUGUCCCAGGGGUGUGCGGAACUGCCAGUGGAGCGGUGAAAUGUGUUGAUAUUGGCAGGAACACCGGAGGCGAAAGCGGCACACUGGGGGAUAACUGACGCUGAGGCACGAAAGCCAGGGGAGCGAACAGGAUUAGAUAC
rnacentral:rRNA from 1 species